rnacentral:rRNA from 1 species
UACGGGGGGGGGCAAGCGUUGUUCGGAAUUACUGGGCGUAAAGGGCUCGUAGGCGGCCAACUAAGUCAGACGUGAAAUCCCUCGGCUUAACCGGGGAACUGCGUCUGAUACUGGAUGGCUUGAGUUUGGGAGAGGGAUGCGGAAUUCCAGGUGUAGCGGUGAAAUGCGUAGAUAUCUGGAGGACACCGGUGGCGAAGGCGGCCCCUGGCUCGGUACCUGACGCUCAGCCACGAAAGCAUGGGGAGCGAACGGGG